rnacentral:rRNA from 1 species
AACGUGCCCGAUCGUGGGGGAUAACGAAGCGAAAGCUUUGCUAAUACCGCAUAAGAUCUACGGAUGAAAGCAGGGGACCGCAAGGCCUUGCGCGAACGGAGCGGCCGAUGGCAGAUUAGGUAGUUGGUGGGAUAAAAGCUUACCAAGCCGACGAUCUGUAGCUGGUCUGAGAGGACGACCAGCCACACUGGGACUGAGACACGGCCCAGACUCCUACGGGAGGCAGCAGUGGGGAAUUUUGGACAAUGGGCGAAAGCCUGAUCCAGCCAUGCCGCGUGCAGGAUGAAGGCCUUCGGGUUGUAAACUGCUUUUGUACGGAACGAAAAGACUCUGGUUAAUACCUGGGGUCCAUGACGGUACCGUAAGAAUAAGCACCGGCUAACUACGUGCCAGCAGCCGCGGUAAUACGUAGGAUGCAAGCGUUAAUCGGAAUUACUGGGCGUAAAGCGUGCGCAGGCGGUUAUAUAAGACAGAUGUGAUAUCCCCGGGCUCAACCUGGGAACUGCAUUUGUGACUGUAUAGCUAGAGUACGGCAGAGGGGGAUGGAAUUCCGCGUGUAGCAGUGAAAUGCGUAGAUAUGCGGAGGAACACCGAUGGCGAAGGCAAUCCCCUGGGCCUGUACUGACGCUCAUGCACGAAAGCGUGGGGAGCAGACAGGAUUAGAUACCCUGGUAGUCCACGCCCUAAACGAUGUCAACUGGUUGU